GGGGACGUAGCUCAGUUGGAAGAGCACUACAAUGGCAUUGUAGGGGUCGUCGGUUCGAACCCGAUCGUCUCCACCA
rnacentral:tRNA from 1 species